rnacentral:misc_RNA from 1 species
GGGUUUGUCCAGUUUGAUUCAGAGGAUUCUGCCUUGGCUGCACGAACCGCUCUCCAUGAUACCAUGCUUGAAGGAAAAACACUGUAUGUAUCCAAAUUCGUCAAGAAAAGUGAGAGGAUAGCAGCCACACUUCAUGAAGAAUCAAAAUUUACAAAUCUCUAUGUAAAAAAUCUGGCUGAUAAUGUGACAGAGGAUACCCUUCAAAACAUG